GUUUCUUAUCAUCUUGUGCGCACCUCCAGCGAUCCUUUGCCACAGUCCUGUUUACAGCCGUUGCCACGUUUUUGUACUUUUUGACCCACGGGAGAUAUUUGUUUGGAGACCUUUUGUCAGUGAUGACGAUAGCCACCUUCCUGACCCCGGACCGGGCGCUGUAAAAAGCCUCUUGGGUGGCCUUUCUGAUGGCGGUUCCAGUCGGACCAAGUUGAACUCCAGAUGGACGUCCAGGCUGUAGAGGACAAGGCCGAUUCUUGUUGCGUUGCGUCCCACCGUGGUCCCGUCCACCAAUCGAGUGACAAAGUCUUUGAUGAUUUCAAAGUUCUCAGGGCCAACGCUCUCUGAGCUGUCGAUCACAAAGACCAGUUCCAUUGGUCUUUCUUUGCACUUGACGCCGCAUCCUGAUGACGACAAAACUCAUUAAUCAUUUAAAUAAUCUUUUGUAUGUUGGAUGACUGGAAUUUGAGUGACACUUACCACAUAUUUCUUUGAUGAGCUUAAUAACGUCUUCUCUCUGAAAAACGCACAUCAUUAGAAGUCUGAACAGUGUGGUAAAAAAUGUACAACUUA